rnacentral:rRNA from 1 species
AUUCGAAACUGGCAGGCUAGAGUCUUGUAGAGGGGGGUAGAAUUCCAGGUGUAGCGGUGAAAUGCGUAGAGAUCUGGAGGAAUACCGGUGGCGAAGGCGGCCCCCUGGACAAAGACUGACGCUCAGGUGCGAAAGCGUGGGGAGCAAACAGGAUUAGAUACCCUGGUAGUCCACGCCGUAAACGAUGUCGAUUUGGAGGUUGUGCCCUUGAGGCGUGGCUUCCGGAGCUAACGCGUUAAAUCGACCGCCUGGGGAGUACGGCCGCAAGGUUAAAACUCAAAUGAAUUGACGGGGGCCCGCACAAGCGGUGGAGCAUGUGGUUUAAUUCGAUGCA